AUGAACGCUGGCGGCGUGCCUAACACAUGCAAGUCGAGCGGAAAUUGUCAAAGUAGCAAUACGGCGGCAGUUUUAGCGGCGGACGGGUGAGUAACACGUGAGUAACCUGCCUUCUACAGGGGAAUAACACCGUGAAAAUGGUGCUAAUACCGCAUAACAUUAUACUGUGGCAUCACAGAAUAAUCAAAGGAGCAAUCCGGUAGAAGAUGGACUCGCGUCCGAUUAGCUAGUUGGAGGGGUAAUGGCCCACCAAGGCGACGAUCGGUAGCCGAACUGAGAGGUUGAUCGGCCACAUUGGGACUGAGACACGGCCCAGACUCCUACGGGAGGCAGCAGUGGGGAAUAUUGGGCAAUGGGCGCAAGCCUGACCCAGCAACGCCGCGUGAAGGAAGAAGGCUUUCGGGUUGUAAACUUCUUUGAUCAGGGACGAAAAAAAUGACGGUACCUGAAAAACAAGCCACGGCUAACUACGU
rnacentral:rRNA from 1 species